UUUCGUAGGUGAACCUGCGGAAGGAUCAUUAA
rnacentral:rRNA from 1 species